UUACCUAUGCCUUGUCACUCUCACCACUCCUUGUCUACACCUUUACUCACCCACAAAGUUAGAAGCUCCAUCAUCUCCAACAAAUCUCAUGCACACACCACCCGAUCCCUGCUUCAUACCUCAAACAAAUAUGAAGAACACGGCAGUCAUUCAUUAUCUCCACCUUCACCCUCUCGUUUGAACACCGACAGUCAAGAAGGAGCCGACUGCCGGUCAUCCGGUUCUUUGGUCGGUUCACCGGCCACUCCCUUCGCCUUAAUUCUCCGACGCUGCCUGUCUGUUCGGCGAACCACCACCACUCGCAAUCUGUUUCGAACAUCCUCACACCACUACAACACUCUUCGUACAACCAACCUUGUCGGAGGGACUUGUAACAUCGCCGGAAGCCGACUUCGCCGGAGAGUGAGAAGACGACCUGAGCCGUAUGGGGAUUGACGGGAGUUGUUUCUUGCGUUCGGAUAAUUGCUUACGUUCACUCUUUUGGAAUUCUCCAUCCUUACUCGUGCGUUAUUUCAAGGAAUCCUCUUAUACGUAAUCAAUGUUGAUGAUGAUGAAAUGAAAGAGGUAGCACGAUGCCUAGAUACACACU